CCUACGGGUGGCAGCAGUGGGGAAUAUUGCACAAUGGGGGAAACCCUGAUGCAGCAACGCCGCGUGAAGGAAGACGGUUUUCGGAUUGUAAACUUCUGUUCUUAGUGAAGAAUAAUGACGGUAGCUAAGGAGCAAGCCACGGCUAACUACGUGCCAGCAGCCGCGGUAAUACGUAGGUGGCAAGCGUUGUCCGGAAUUACUGGGUGUAAAGGGAGCGCAGGGGGGUUUGCAAGUAAGAUGUGAAAAUUAUGGGCCCAACCCAUAACCUGCGGCUGAAACUACAGAUCUUGAGAGUGAGAGAGGUAGACGGAAUUCGCGGUGUAGCGGGGAAAUGCGUAGAUAUCGGGAGGAACACCGGUGGCGAAGGCGGUUUACUGGACCACAACUGACGCUGAGACACGAAAGCGUGGGGAGCAAACAGGAUUAGAUACCCUGGUAGUC
rnacentral:rRNA from 1 species